rnacentral:rRNA from 1 species
AACGAACGCUGGCGGCAGGCUUAACACAUGCAAGUCGAGCGCCCCGCCCGGGGAGCGGCAGACGGGUGAGUAACGCGUGGGAACGUACCUUUUGGUUCGGAACAACUCCGGGAAACUGGAGCUAAUACCGGACAAGCCCUAACGGGGAAAGAUUUAUCGGCGAGCGAUCGGCUCGCGUCUUAUUAGCUUGUUGGUGGGGUAGAGGCUCACCAAGCCAACGAUCAGUAGCUGGUCUGAGCGGGUGAGCGGCCACCCUGUGCCUGAGAUACGGCCCAGACUCCUCCGCGCGGGAGCAGGGGGGUGUGUUGCAUAAGGGGCGGGAGCCUGAUGCAGCCCCGCCGCGCGCGGGAAGACGGGCUUCGGUUUGUAUAGAAAUUUCGUUUGUGCCGAAGCGUGAGUGACGGUAACGGGUAAAGAAGCCCCGGCUAACUUCGUG